UCUGUUUGAUCCUGCCGGAGGUUACUGCUAUCGAGGUUCGACUAAGCCAUGCGAGUCGAAUGUAGCAAUACAUGGCGAACUGCUCAGUAACACGUGGACAACCUGCCCUUAGGUUGGGUAUAAACCCGGGAAACUGGGUAUAAUACCCGAUAGGUCUCGAUUGCUGGAAUGCAUCGAGAUUUAAAGCUCCGGCGCCUAAGGAUGGGUCUGCGGCCUAUCAGGUAGUAGUGGGUGUAGCGUACCUACUAGCCUACGACGGGUACGGGUUGUGAGAGCAAGAGCCCGGAGAUGGAUUCUGAGACACGAAUCCAGGCCCUACGGGGUGCAGCAGGCGCGAAAACUUUACAAUGCUGGCAACAGCGAUAAGGGAACCUCGAGUGCCAGGUUACAAAUCUGGCUGUCGAGAUGCCUAAAAGCAUUUCAUAGCAAGGGCCGGGCAAGACCGGUGCCAGCCGCCGCGGUAACACCGGCGGCUCGAGUGGUAACCGUUAUUAUUGGGU
rnacentral:rRNA from 1 species